GACAGAGGGUGCAAACGUUGCUCGGAAUUAUUGGGCGUAAAGCGCACGUAGGCGGCAUCGCAAGUCGGAUGUGAAAUCCCACGGCUUUAACCAUGGAAGUGCAUCCGAAACUGCAGUGCUUGAGUACUUAAGAGGAUCGCGGAAUUCCCCGGUGUAGAGGUGAAAAUUCUAGAUAUCGGGGAGGAACACCAGUGGCGAAGGCGGCGUCUGGGGAAAGAU
rnacentral:rRNA from 1 species